rnacentral:ncRNA from 1 species
UGAAGGUAGAGGUUGCGUAAAUCAUUAGUAAUUCACAGGAUGUGGCAGACACAGGAGAAUGUGAAGGAAAGGGAGGCACGCCGAAAGGUUACAUUUUCUGCGGGUGUGGUCUUGGGCAUAAGUUUAACAGGCUUAUGACUGUCAUCUUGAAAGAGAUGGGGAGCUAUCG